UUCUGGCGUCAGGAUGAACGCUGGCGGCGUGCUUAACACAUGCAAGUCGAACGGGGAAACAAUGAAAGAAGUUUCGGAUGGAAUUUAUGUUUCUAGUGGCGGACGGGUGAGUAACGCGUAAACAAUCUGCCUUAGAGAGGGGGAUAACAGAUAGAAAUAUUUGCUAAUACCGCAUAAGACCACAGGUAGGCAUCUACUAGGGGUAAAAGGAGCAAUCCGCUUUAAGAUGAGUUUGCGUACUAUUAGCUAGUUGGUGAGGUAACGGCCCACCAAGGCGACGAUGGUUAGCCGGCCUGAGAGGGUGAACGGCCACAUUGGAACUGAGAUACGGUCCAGACUCCUACGGGAGGCAGCAGUGAGGAAUAUUGGGCAAUGGGCGAAAGCCCUGACCCAGCAACGCCGCGUGAAGGAAGAAGGUUUUAGGAUUGUAAACUUCUGUUGUAAGGGAAAAAGAGAGUGAUGGUACCUUACGAGGAAGCUACGGCAAACUAUGUGCCAGCCGCUGC
rnacentral:rRNA from 1 species